rnacentral:rRNA from 1 species
AUUGAACGCUGGCAGCAUGCUUUACACAUGCAAGUCGGACGGCAGCACAGAGAAGCUUGCUUCUUGGGUGGCGAGUGGCGAACGGGUGAGUAAUAUAUCGGAACGUACCGAGUAAUGGGGGAUAACUAAUCGAAAGAUUAGCUAAUACCGCAUAUUCUCUGAGGAGGAAAGCAGGGGACCUUCGGGCCUUGCGUUAUUCGAGCGGCCGAUAUCUGAUUAGCUAGUUGGUGGGGUAAAGGCCUACCAAGGCGACGAUCAGUAGCGGGUCUGAGAGGAUGAUCCGCCACACUGGGACUGAGACACGGCCCAGACUCCUACGGGAGGCAGCAGUGGGGAAUUUUGGACAAUGGGCGCAAGCCUGAUCCAGCCAUGCCGCGUGUCUGAAGAAGGCCUUCGGGUUGUAAAGGACUUUUGUCAGGGAAGAAAAGGCUGUUGCUAAUACCGACAGCUGAUGACGGUACCUGAAGAAUAAGCACCGGCUAACUACGUG